rnacentral:rRNA from 1 species
ACGCGAGGAACCUUACCAGGUCUUGACAUCCUCUGACACUCCUAGAGAUAGGACGUUCCCCUUCGGGGGACAGAGUGACAGGUGGUGCAUGGUUGUCGUCAGCUCGUGUCGUGAGAUGUUGGGUUAAGUCCCGCAACGAGCGCAACCCUUGAUCUUAGUUGCCAGCAUUAAGUUGGGCACUCUAAGGUGACUGCCGGUGAUAAACCGGAGGAAGGUGGGGAUGACGUCAAAUCAUCAUGCCCCUUAUGACCUGGGCUACACACGUGCUACAAUGGAUGGUACAAAGGGCAGCAAAGCGGUGACGCCUAGCAAAUCCCAUAAAACCAUUCUCAGUUCGGAUUGUAGGCUGCAACUCGCCUACAUGAAGCUGGAAUCGCUAGUAAUCGCGGAUCAGCAUGCCGCGGUGAAUACGUUCCCGGGCCUUGUACUCACCGCCCGU